GCGGAAGUGACUGCGCCUCGGGCCGCCUUGGUUACCGCGUUCUCCGCCCCUCGAUACGUCAUCGCUCUGAGCCGGCGAUCCGCUGCCCGCGCGGGCGCUGCCCGAGAGCGCGGGUCCCGGUUGCCGCCCCCUCAGGAGCCACCAUGUUGGUGAUACCCCCCGGACUGAGCGAGGAGGAGGAGGCUCUGCAGAAGAAAUUCAACAAACUGAAGAAAAAGAAAAAGGCAUUGCUGGCUCUGAAGAAGCAAAGCAGCAGCAGCACAGCCAGCCAGGGUGGUGUCAAACGCUCACUGUCAGAGCAGCCUGUGGUGGACACAGCCACGGCAACAGAGCAGGCAAAGCAGCUGGUGAAGUCAGGAGCCAUCAGUGCCAUCAAGGCCGAGACCAAGAACUCGGGCUUCAAACGCUCUCGAACCCUAGAGGGGAAGUUAAAGGAUCCUGCGAAGGGGCCAGUCCCCACUUUCCAGCCGUUCCAGAGAAGCAUAUCUGCUGACGAUGAUCUGCAAGAGUCGUCCAGACGUCCUCAAAGGAAAUCUCUGUAUGAGAGCUUUGUGUCUUCCAGUGAUCGGCUUCGGGAACUGGGGCCAGAUGGGGAUGAAGCAGAGGGCCAAGGGGCUGCUGACGGCCCCCCUCGAAGCUUUGACUGGAGCUAUGAAGAACGUGGUGGCACCCGCUCCUCAGUCUCCCCUCCCCGAAGCCGCAGCCGGGACCGCAGUCGUGAGCGGAACCGGGACAGAGACCGAGAUCGGGAACGGGAUCGAGACAGAGAUCGGGAACGGGACAGAGAUCAAGACCGGGAGCGGGACCGGGAUCGAGACAGGGACCGGGACCGAGAUCGGGAGGGCCCUUUCCGCAGGUCAGACUCAUUCCCUGAACGCCGGGCCCCUCGGAAGGGGAACACUCUCUAUGUGUAUGGAGAAGACAUGACGCCCACCCUCCUCCGUGGGGCCUUCUCUCCCUUUGGAAAUAUCAUUGACCUCUCCAUGGACCCACCCAGAAACUGUGCCUUCGUCACCUAUGAAAAGAUGGAGUCAGCAGAUCAGGCCGUUGCUGAGCUCAACGGGACCCAGGUGGAGUCUGUGCAGCUGAAAGUCAGCAUUGCCCGCAAGCAGCCCAUGCUGGACGCCGCCACCGGCAAGUCUGUCUGGGGCUCCCUUGUAUCCGCAUGUGCCAAGGUAACAGCAGACCGCUCCUUGCUGCAGUGAUGGAGUGGCAGCCGCUGGCCUGAGGGGGCUAAAUGGAGACAGGCCACCCUGGCCACCAGGGGGCAGCAUGGAAACAGCUUCCAAGAGCCAGCGGCUGGGAGUGAGCUGUCCAGAACAGCCCUAAGGGUUGCCACCGGGACAAGAGGACCCAGAUUGUCUACAGUGACGACGUCUACAAGGAAAACCUUGUGGAUGGCUUCUAGGAAGUGGAGCUGGAUUCUGUGCCUCAUCUGCCCCAACGCGGGUCUCAGUAAAACACUGAGGUGGAAGCUCACACAUCUCCCUAAGCCUCUGGUUUUUCAGCACUUGGGGUUGGGGUUGAGCCUUUAAAAACGGCUGUUAGAUUUGACCUCAUUUGUAACCACAUGGCUAGUGCACAUUCCCCGCCCUCACCCCAAAAGGAUCUUAACACAGGUACUGUC